rnacentral:rRNA from 1 species
UACGAACUGUGCAAACGUUAUUCGGAAUCACUGGGCUUAAAGGGUGCGUAGGCGGCUUGUCAAGUAGGGUGUGAAAGCCCCCGGCUUAACCGGGGAAUUGCGCCCUAAACUGACGAGCUGGAGUGGGACAGGGGUGUGUGGAACUUCCGGUGGAGCGGUGAAAUGUGUUGAUAUCGGAAGGAACGCCGGUGGCGAAGGCGGCGACCUGGGUCGAUACUGACGCUGAGGUGCGAAAGCGUGGGGAGCAAACAGG